UACAGAGGUCCCAAGCGUUGUUCGGAUUCACUGGGCGUAAAGGGUGCGUAGGCGGUCGGGUAAGUCUGACGUGAAAUCUCCAAGCUCAACUUGGAAAUGGCGUCGGAUACUAUUCGGCUCGAGGAAUGGAGGGGAGACUGGAAUUCUCGGUGUAGCAGUGAAAUGCGUAGAUAUCGAGAGGAACACCAGUGGCGAAGGCGGCCAACUGGACCACAACUGACGCUGAGGCGCGAAAGCGUGGGGAGCAAACAGG
rnacentral:rRNA from 1 species